CCUACGUGAGGCAGCAGUAGGGAAUCUUCCACAAUGGGCGAAAGCCUGAUGGAGCAACGCCGCGUGGGUGAAGAAGGUCUUCGGAUCGUAAAACCCUGUUGUUAGAGAAGAAAGUGCGUGAGAGUAACUGUUCACGUUUCGACGGUAUCUAACCAGAAAGCCACGGCUAACUACGUGCCAGCAGCCGCGGUAAUACGUAGGUGGCAAGCGUUAUCCGGAUUUAUUGGGCGUAAAGGGAACGCAGGCGGUCUUUUAAGUCUGAUGUGAAAGCCUUCGGCUUAACCGGAGUAGGGCAUUGGAAACUGGGAGACUUGAGUGCAGAAGAGGAGAGUGGAACUCCAUGUGUAGCGGUGAAAUGCGUAGAUAUAUGGAAGAACACCAGUGGCGAAAGCGGCUCUCUGGUCUGUAACUGACGCUGAGGUUCGAAAGCGUGGGUAGCAAACAGGAUUAGAUACCCGGGUAGUC
rnacentral:rRNA from 1 species